CCCUUAGAUGUUCUGGGCCGCACGCGCGCUACACUGAUGCAUUCAACGAGUCUAAAACCUGGUCUGAUAGGGCUGGGUAAUCUUUUGAAAGUGCAUCGUGAUUGGGAUAGAUGAUUGCAAUUCUUCAUCUUCAACGAGGAAUGCCUAGUAAACGCAAGUCAUCAGCUUGCAUUGAUUACGUCCCUGCCCUUUGUACACACCGCCCGUCGCACCUACCGAUUGAAUGGUCCGGUGAAUCUUUAGGACUGUGGCUGAGGCCUUGCCUUGUGCGGGUCUGGCCGUGGGAAUUUAGUUAAACCUUACCAUUUAGAGGAAGGUGAAGUCGUAACA
rnacentral:rRNA from 1 species